CACGUAGGGGGCAAGCGUUGUCCGGAUUUAUUGGGCGUAAAGAGCUCGUAGGCGUUUUCGUAAGUCGGGUGUGAAAACUCUAGGCUCAACCUAGAGACGCCACCCGAUACUGCGAUGACUAGAGUCCGGUAGGGGAGUGUGGAAUUCCUGGUGUAGCGGUGAAAUGCGCAGAUAUCAGGAGGAACACCAACGGCGAAGGCAGCACUCUGGGCCGGAACUGACGCUGAGGAGCGAAAGCGUGGGUAGCGAACAGG
rnacentral:rRNA from 1 species